GCAUAAUGCCUUGACGGAGGGGAGGGGGUCUGAUUUCUUCAACCAUCAUAAAUCUGUUUCUGACAACCUUGCAGCUUUGGCAUAGAUUGCUUAUUCAGGCAAAGAUUGUGGUUCUGGUUGAGUACAGAAAUAAGGAUCCUAAUCACGUGGAGUGGGCCAAGGCUUUGAAGGAGCUCUACUUACCAGGUUUGAGGGAUUAUGUUAAGAGUUUCUAUCCACUUGGACCAUUGUGGAGUUUCUGUAGCAAAGCUAUUGUCUCUGCUGCGCCUAAAUCCCCUGCACCAGCUGCUCCUGCAACACCCCCACCACCUCCUGCUCCUUUCUUCUCAGAUCUAAACCUUCCUCUUCAAAACCAAAGCGAAUGGAAGAACUUGAAAGUGAAACGAGAAGAAUGAGGAAAGAUCUAGACAAAGAAAAGCCAGAAAGCAUCUAUAGCUGAACUGAAAACAUAGCUAGAUGAAGAGCGUAACCAAAGAAGAGAAGAGCGAGAAAAGGCUGCUGCAGAUCUGAAAGCUUCAAUACAAAGGGUUCAGUCCGAGGCUGAAGAAGAAUUAAAACGAGCAUCAGAUGCUGCUUCGAGGCGAGAAAGAGAACAACAAGAAGUUAUCAGUAAACUUCAGGUCUAUACUCCGAGGAAUGCGGCUUAUGGUAGUGAGGAAAUUAAUGUGGUUCGUGAGCAAUGGGAUAAGUUUUUUACCUGCAAGUAUUUAUUAUUGGCCUUAGCGCGUUUGAUCGAGUUGGCUUAGAUGUUAUAGAACAAUCUUUUAUAUUAAAAUGUAUGCGUACGAUGAAAUUGGAACACAUAU